ACGGCGGGCGAGUCGGCUGGUGCUGCCCACGGGGUUUAGUUCUACUAAAAUGUUGUGGACAUCUGUGUAAAAAUGGUUAAUUGUGCUGUGACCACCUGCCAAAAUGUGUUUGAUGGUAAAAAUAAUGUAAAUUGCAGAAGUUUCUUUGUGUUUCCUAAAGGCGGUGAACUACGAAAAGCUUGGGCUGAAAGAUGUGGGUUACAAGAAUCUGAUCUGAAGGAAUCUGCUCGUGUAUGUUCAGAUCAUUUCGCGGAGUGUGAUUACAAACCAACCAAAAAAAGAAAAUUGCUUCUUCCGGAGGCAGUGCCUUGGGUGGACGUACCUGGGGCAGGCAUCGUUCUGAUUAUAAGGCCUGCAGAGCAUGGUCAGAGUGCCCUGUUUGAGAGGGCGAGGACUGGUGGUUCCCAGCAGGACUGGCAGCAGGGAGCAGGACCCAGUGGGAUGACAGCUGCCAGCAGGCACCAGCCAGAAAACAGAGCUGGUACCAGUUUGAAGGACAUCCCUGAAGGCCAUGCAGGUGCCCUCUCCACCUCAUCUCGCAUCCAAACGCAACCAAACGACGUCCAUCACCAAAGCGGCGCGCGGAGGACACCGCCUGCGGGGCUGCGGCUGUGGCGCGCCUCCGAGACCACGCUCCGCUUACAGAACCGCCGGCUGCUGGCGGACAACCAGCGGCUGCGGCUGCGCCUGCGACAG